UUCCCUUUGACUUUAAAUCUCCUCAUACCCUGGAUAAGUGACACCUUCAAAUAUACGUAAUCACCGUCUUUAAACUCUAGCAGUCUUCUCCGGGUAUCCGUAUAGCUUUUCUGACUGCGCAGUCCUCAAGUUCUCCCUUAUAUGCCGAACUUGUGUAAAGCCAAAAAUUGGUAAAAAAUAUAAAAAAUAAAAUAAAGACAUAAGAAUAACUAUAAUAAUGUUUCUAGAAUUUUUGAAACCUUUAGAAUUCAUUAGAACCCUUUCCUCUUCAUAAUCAAUUGAGAGUACUAAAUUAUUUAAAUGACCAAUAAAUAAAUAGUGAACAGAUGCAUUCCUCGCUUAUAAUUUGGGGAGGCAUUUUUAACAUAACUUAAAAUUUGACCUCAAGAUUUUAAAUGAAAAGCAUAAAGAAUAAUAGAAAAUGAGAAAGAAAGUUUUAUGGAAGUCAUUUAUUCCAUCCAUAAAUACAUAAUAGGAAAAAGAAUAAAUAAUAAUAUUGUAUACAACAAAGUUUAUAUUCACACUAGGAUUUAUUUAGACAUUUGGAAAUUUGGGAGUUCAAAAAAUGAGUUGAAUGUGAAUUGAAUUUAAAGUUAGAAAUCAGAAAAAAAAAUCAUGAAAAGAAAAUAUAAAAGAAUAACCUGGCGCUUGGGCCGAAUCUCCUUCAUAGCGGCCCACUCACCUCCUCACCUUGGGCCAAAUUUGCCUAGCCAUGGCCCAGAUCAGAACACCCGCACAGCCCAACUCACCGUUGUGCACCCUAGACAUGCGUGUUCGGUCAAUGUCACACGGGCCUCACCCGUCAUCCAGAUUACGCGUGCGCUGGGCGAUUCUCUCUGCCUGGUGACCCGGUCCAUCAUUUCGCGCCCUGCCUCAUGCUUCGCUUACCUGUGGGACCCACACCGUCAGCCUUAUCCCCUUCUUCACGUCCGGGUUGUUGCAACAGACUCACCGCGGACGUCGGGCUGUUGGGAUCGGGUCAACCCCCCUCCUCAUGGGGCAGGACUCCAUUGGUGGGUGCUUAAAACUCGAGCCUCGCCGCCCUUGGUGGAUAUGCAGGUCGGAGUCUGCUGCCUCCGUGCCGUGCGCGCGUUCAGAGCGGGAGUAGAGAGAGAAAGAGACGACCCCGCUGUUACCGUUCUUCGCUUUCAGCUAUUUAUGACUUUCGCUAUGUAAUAAUUACAUUUAUGAUAUUUAUGACAUUUAUCCUUAUACACUUUGUCAUUAUAUGUGAUAUUCUUCCUUGGCGCUCAUAUGAGACGCAUCCGGCUUUAUUCUUUAAAUCCAGGUGUGACAUCUAAAGCGAGAAAAACUUGGUCCCUAAAGAAAUGGGAAACGACUCAGCACGACCAAGUAGAAAACUGCUAGUACUCAAGAAGAGGCAAAAGCGGGGCUCAACACCACUAGCCAACAAUCAAAAACACAUUGGAGCAAAAAAUCAGCACAAAAGCUGAAAGCAAAGCUAGUUCCUCUAGAAAGAGGCAAGUUUGCUAUAGCUUUAUAUGGUUUCGGGUUAAUAUUUCAUUAUAUCCAUGUUCCAAUUAUUCUGUUAUUUUAUUUAUGUUCAUGUCAAGAUCAUUAUCUUUAAUUGGAACAUGGAGCUUAACUUGAGAAACACGUGCCACCAUAAGGGUGGAAUGGGACGUCCUUGGCUGACUAAUGAGGAAAGCUAGUGGAAGACUACCUUACCCGAAAGGGGCAAUGGCACUAGGGGAGUAGGCAUGCAGGGAGGUUCUCGGGUUGAUUUUACUGCGAUGGCGGUCAGACGAGGGAUUCCUGCAAUUACUCUUCCUAGAACUGUAGCGGGUUUUCGGAAGCUAGUGGAACUUUGUAAAGGCCUCGUAGUGUUACCCUGCCUCGCUUCCUUGGUAGAGGUGUAUGGGACUCAUGACCCCUUGGCAGAUGGGUAACAUGACUUGUGGGUACAGGGUACAACCUCUGCAGAGUGUAAAACUGGUAUACUAGCCGAGCUCACGGUCAUGAGCAGCUCAGGACUCUCGUAUGAUUAAAUUAUGAAACUAAAUUUAAUUUAUCAUUUUCAUUGCAUGGGAUUAUUUAUUAAUUUUGUUCUAUUAUUAUUAUGGUUUGGUAUUUACUUACAUUUAGUAACUGCUAAUAAAAUUUGACCAACUUAUUAAAAGCAAUGCUCAACUUUAACCCCUAUUGUUGAUCAGCCUUACACAUCACGUGAACUCCCACCUUUGGUAAGUUCAUGCACAUUAUUCCCCACAACUUGUUGAGCGAUGAACAUGUGUGAGCUCACCCUUGCUGUCUCACACCCCCCAUAGGAGAAGUACAGGUGGUUCAAGAGGAGCCACACAACGAGGAGUUUGUCUUGAUCUAGGUGGCGUCUCCCAGUUGACUUUAUGGUGCCAGGGAUGGACUUUAGUUCGUUUUAUAUUUACCUUUUAUUUUGUAAGACUUCCGCUAUAAUAAGUACUCUGAUUAUAUUGUGACAUUUAUCUCUAUACACUCUAUUAUUAUAUGUGUUGUCUUCUUUGCCGCAUACAUGAGAUGCACUCGGCUUUGUCCCUUAAAUCCGGGUCUGACAGAAGUGGUAUCAGAGGAAUGUUGACUGUAGGACGAAACCUAGAUAGAACUGGACAACCAUUGUCUACUUACCUUUGCUACUCUGAUUCUUUCUAAAAUUUUCUUAAUCUUUUCUCAUCUAUUUCUGCUUUACUCUGAUUACUCUUACCUUUUCCUUUUAAAGACAAAUGUGGAUUUCACAAUUUGAAAUCAUGUGCCUAAAGUGACCUUUAGGAAUAGGAGACCUACUCUUAGAAACAAAAACAAAACUAUUUUUAUAGGUAUCUAUAUGCUUGAAUGUUUAUUCUUGUGAUACAUGUCUGAUUUGGAUUUUUUAUUGAGUGUGAUGAGUUGUGGAGUAAUGUCCACAAUUACAUCUACAUAUACGUAUAGGCAUAAAUAUAAAUAAGAAAAAAAUCAUAAGAUGACUAUACAAACUAAGAAUAUCCCCCAUUAAAAUAUAUCUAGUUUAAUAGAUCCAUCUUAUCUUACAAGAUUCUCUCUUAUCUUAAUAGAUCCAUCUUAUCUUGAAAGAUUUGUCUUAUACUAACCACUUUACUUAACUCAUCUUAAAGUAACAACCAGGAUCUAAUCCAAAAUAAUGAGAUCAUAUCUAAGUUAUAUUCGCAUGACUAAAACCACUUGACUUAUCCCACCAUGAUCAUGAUCUAACCCAAAUUAAUUGGAUCUUAUCUAGUCGAAGCUAGUCAUAUCUAGAUCUGAUCUAAUGUGACAGAUUAAUCCAACCUAACGAAGGCUAACCUUAAGCCGAGCUAAUGUAAGUUGCUUAACAGGAAAGUUAAUACUGAUAAAAUGGAUGAGACUACUCCUAUAAAAUAUGUUUUAACUUAAUUCACUCUGCACUAAGUUAAGAAUGACCGGCCAACUCGGCCACAUGCAACUACCUUAACCAUUCGAUGGUUGCAUAACCCCUCUAUUUUAACCUAACAACAAGAUAGAGAUUCUCACCUACCUACACCAUAUAAUCAAUCCUAUCUUAAAAGAUUCUAACAUAUCCUAAUAAUAUUUAUCCUACCCUGGUAGAUCUAUCUAACUUAAACUAGUCUAAUCUAGUUAUAUCCAAUCUAAUCUAAUAUGAUCCAAUCUAAAGGAAGUUACUUAAGCAAGUUAGUUAAUACUGGUAACAUAGAUUAGAACAUAUUCCGAUAAAUGGGUUUCCAACCUAAAUUGGUGUCUUAAACCAACUCGUCUGUGGAACCACGACCUAGUCUAUUUUAUAGGUUGCCCAACCCAUUUAUCCCAAAAGAAAUGCAUAAUUCUGUUUAACCUACCUACCCCAUGUACCCGCAAUUGUUAUCCCAACUCAGAUAAUGGCAUAUAACACCACGACCGAUGGUCCCUAAAUCAUACCCAAGAAGAAGGAUAACCUCGACAAUGAAGGAUAUGAGUAGAAACAGAUCUUCAGAUGAAUCAAGAUCCACCACCAGAAUAAAAGUCUCCCUUACCUAACUUUCUUUGACCCAAAUCUUCCCUACACUUGUCUAAUAACUAGAACCUAAUAUACUGUACCCUUGCUUUCUAUGCCACACCUGCUAAUGGCAUGAAAAUUUUAGGUAUACAAAAAAUGCUAAUUAGAAGUACCACUUAGGUAAAAAAAGAUACUAGAAUUUCAUAAAGAUAAAGUCAGCUUGACAUGCUCAACUAAACGGUAUUCUUAAAUAGGAUUAUAGAAUCUAAUGUGAUCUAAUCUAGUGUGAUCUAAUCCAAUGUGAUCUUAUCUGAUGUGGCCUACUUAAAUAGACUAGUGAUACUGGUAGAAGAGAUUAGACCCUACUAGCCAAGUGUUAACUUAACUUAGCACAUUAGACCAACUCAACCAUGAGCAUAAGAGCUAACCCAACUAAUAGAGUCAUGAUGAAUUGUAUAGUCUAUCUAUCCCCACCUAACAUCAAACAAGAAUUUGACCUACAUCAUGUAGUCUAUCUCACCCAUGUCUAUCUCAUCUUGACGGAUUCUAUCGUACCUUUGGAUAUUCACCUUAUACGACUAGUUAUCCCAAGCUUGAUAUAAAACAACAGAUUAAGCCCUGCCAAAGAAUCUUUAGUUCAUAACCAGCUACUAGCCUAUUCAUUCUGCCUACCAAAUAAUUUCCCUUGCAAAACUAUCUUACCAUAUGCUUCUAACUCUGAUGGUCAAUACCAGGAAGGGAGGACUAUCAGGCAACAUCAAACAGAAAUGAAUCCUAUAAAUCCUCCACCGGCUGGAACCGAUGUAGUGGUUGUCGCCCAAAUGCUGGUACUACAACAAAUGACAAACGUGGUUAACGAAAUGCAAAAUCAGAUAAGGCAAGAACACUAGGAAAUGCGUCAGAACCGGUUGGAGAUGCGACAAGCAAUGAGAUAAGCACGGUUGGAAAGACAACAACAACAACACCCACUACCUCCAUCACCACCACCAGCGCCUAUAUAUAUAUUACUAUUUGUAAGACAUAAAUGUUACUUUAGUUAGUAGUUAGUAUUUUACUAUUUUAGGAAUAAUAAUAAGGUAUAUUUGACCAUAUGUGUUCCUAAUAAAUUAUGAAUCAUGCUGAGAUUUUGUUUGUGCAUAUGUUUUGAGAUAGCAUGGUUAUACACCCUUUUCUUACAAAUCUCAAGGACGAUAUUUCUGUUAAGGGGGUAGGAUUUGUAAAGCCCAAAAUUGGUAAAAAAAAUAAAAUAAAGACAUAAGAGUAUAUAUAAUAAUGUUUCUAGAAUUUUUGAAACCUUUGGAAUUCAUUAGAACCCUUUCCUCUUCAUAAUCAAUUGAGAGUACUAAUUUAGUUAAAUGACCAAUAAAUAAAUAGUGAACAGAUGCAUUCCUCGCUUAUAAUUUGGGGGAGGCAUUUUUAACAUACUUAAAAUUUGACCUCAAGAUUUUAAAUGAAAAGCAUAAAGAAUAAUAGAAAAUGAGAAAGAAAGUUUUAUGGAAGUCAUUUAUUCCUUCCAUAAAUACAUAAUAGGAAAAAGAAUAAAUAAUAAUAUUGUAUACAACAGAGUUUAUAUUCACACUAGGAUUUAUUUGGACAUUUGGAAAUUUGGGAGUUCAAAACAUGAGUUGAAUGUGUAUUGAAUUUAAAGUUAGGAAUCAGAAAAAAAACAUGAAAAGAAAAUAGAAAAGAAUAAGCUGGCGCUUGGGCCGAAUCUCCUUCAUAGCGGCCCACUCACCUACUCACCUUGGGCCAAAUUUGCCUAGCCGCGGCCCAGGUCGGAACACCCGCGCAGCCCAACUCACUGUUGCGCACCCUAGACACACGUGUUUGGUCAAUGUGACGCGGGCCCCACCUGUCAUCCAGAUUACACGUGUUGGGCGAUUCCCUCUGCCUGGUGUCCUGGUCCAUCAUUUCGCGCCCUCCCUCACGCUUCGCUUACAUGUGGGACCCACACCGUCAGCCUUAUCCCCUUCUUCACGUCCGGGUUGUUGCAACAGACUCGCCGCGGAUGUCGGGCUGUUGGGAUCGGGUCAACCCCCCUCCUCACGGGACCGGACUCCGUCGGUGGGUGCUUAACACUUGAGCCUCGCCACCCUUCGUGGAUAUGCAAGUCGAAGUGUGCUGCCUUUGUGCUGUGAGCGCGUUCAGAGCGGGAGGACAGAGAGAAAGAGACGUCGCCGCCGCCAUUCUUCGCAUUCAAGAGUCGAUUGGCGUACGUGGUGCAUCCGAGGUUUUCGGGUGAUGGCAUGGAUCAUGCGCGUGGGAUGGUGGAUCGUAUGGCUUCCUGGGUUGGCGUGAAUUGCUCGUCAGAGCGUUUCUUCGCCAUUGAUCCGCCGCUGCGUCGUGGACUGCAUCACCUGUGCGACAAUCAAUGGUGAGGACCCUUCCACCCAACUCGUCUUCAUCUUCUCCACGUGUAGCACUCUUCGAACCAGAGCUUGGCGUGAUGUGUCAGGAUAUGAGGUGGUACAGCCAUGGCGCCACCGUGCAGCUGCUCGCCGUCGGUCGUCUGGACGGCUGGUGGCUGAUAGCACCUAGAGGGGGGGUGAAUAGGUGAUCCUGUAAAAUUCAACACUAAAUUCCAACAACCUUGAUUAUAAAGAUAUUAGUGUGGGUUAAUCAAGUCAAUGAGAUGAGCUCUUGCGAACAUAGACAAUCAAAGAGAGAGCAAUCACAAGAGACACACGAUUUUAUCCCGUGGUUCAGCCAAGUAACACUUGCCUACUUCCACAUUGUGGUGUCCCAAUGGACGAGGGUUGCACUCAACCCCUUUCAAGUGAUCCAAUGAUCAACUUGAAUACCACGACUUUUCUUCCUUAUAUCCUUUUCCCGUUUGCGAGGAAUCUCCACAAGUUGGAGCCUCUCGCCCUUACAAGAUUGAUCACAAAGAACGCACAAGAGUAAGGUUGGGAAGAGCAACGCACACAAGACACAAAUCGUAGCACACCCACGCACACAAGAGAGGACUUGAGCUCAAAUGACAACACAGGGAGUCCUCGACUCGAAUAGAGCUCAAAUCACUAACACAAUGAAACGAAUGCACGGGAACAAAGUCUGGAUGCCUUAGGAUGCUUAGUGAAUGCUUGUGUAGCUCCUCCAUGCGCCUAGGGGUCCCUUUUAUAGCCCCAAGGCAGCUAGGAGCCGUUGAAGAUCAACAAGGAAGGAUUUCCUUGCCAUCUGUCGAGUGGCGCACCGGACAGUCCGGUGCGCCACGGGACAGUCACUGUAGACGGUCCGGUGCCGAUCUCCUUCCUUUUCUAGCGCAGACAACCAUUGCAGCUCCGGGCCGGUUGGCGCACCGGACACUGUCCGGUGCACACCGGACAGUCCGGUGCCCCCUGCCGAUCGUUGGCGCGGGCCACGCGUCGCCCGCGGAUUGCGCGGCCGACCGUUGCGCUGGCGACCGUUGGCUCACCGGACAGUCUGGUGCACCACCGGACAGUCCGGUGAAUUAUAGCCGUAUGCCGCCAAACUUUUCCCGAGAGCGGCCUGUUUACCGGAAACCAGCCUGGCGCACUGGACACUGUCCGGUGCACCACCAGACAGUCCGGUGUGCCAGACUGAGCUGAGCUUUGGCUGCACACAGCCCGUCCUUUGCAAUCCUUUUUUUCUUCUUUUCUCUAUUUCUAACACUUAGAUAACUUCAUUAGUAUUCAAAAACAAAUGUACUAAGUCUAGAAACAUACCUCAUGUCUUGAUUUGCACUUUUUCAAUCUUUGGCACAUUUAGAACUUAGAGAAUAUGUGUUGGGCACUUAAUCACCAAAACAUUAUAGAAAUGGCCCAAAGGCACAUUUCCCUUUCAAUCUCCCCCUUUUUGGUGAUUUAUGCCAACACAACCAAAAGCAACCAAAAGAUAUGCAAUAUCAAUGCAAUUGAGGACCAAAUUGUUUUUGACAAGAUUUGACAUAUUUGGAUCGCUCUUUGCCACCACUUGGUUUGUUUUUGCAAAUCAAAUUCAUUUUCCUAUCUCUAAGUCAAACUCACUAGUUUGGGCAUAAAGAGAGAUAAUCCAAGAGUGAAAUUGAUCAAAUGCCAAAAACUCCCCCUUUUUCCCAUAGUCAUAAAUUCUCCCCCACAAGAGACUAAAUUUUGCAAUAAGAGCAUUUUGGACAAAUCAAAAGUUCUAACUCUAUUGUUUUCAAAAUUCACAAGUGGUAGCUGAUCCAUUUGCUUUGGCCUUAAUUUCUCCCCCUUUAGCAUUAAGCACCAAAACGGGAUCAUUAUUGGCCCUUUAACCCCAUUGCCUCACCAAAAAUGUCAAUUAAGAGCAAAAAGGCAAUAAGAGCAUAAGAAUGAACUUGGACAUGAGUACACUAAUACCGGAGUGCAGUGGAAGUCUUUGCAUGGUCCAAGUUCACCUUUCCCUUUCAAUUCACCUUUGAGACUACAUCAAGUAUACUCAAACACAAGGGUUAGUCUCAAAGGGUCAAGUUGUAGCACUUCUCCCCCUAAAUAUGUGUAUCAUUCACACAUGGACUUGUGAGGUCCGAGGAUCCCUUGCACAACUUGAACACCAUAAAUAAGCAACAAAUAACAUAAAUGCAUAAGUAACAUGAUCAAAGGCAUAGAACACAUGUAUGCUAUAAAUCAUUCCAAGUUACAUGAAUCUAAGACAUUUAGCUCACUACGCAGCCUGCAAAAGGUUUUCUCAUCUAAUGGCUUGGUAAAGAUAUCGGCUAGCGGUUCUCAGUGUUAAUAUGCUACACCUCGAUAUCUCCCUUUUGCUGGUGGUCUCUCAGAAAGUGAUGUUGGAUGUCUAUGUGCUUAGUGCGGCUGUGUUCAACAGGAUUAUCCGCCAUGCGGAUUGCACUCUCAUUGUCCCAUAGGAGUGCGACUUUGCUCAGAUUGUAGCCAAAGUCCGGAGGGUUUGCCUCAUCCAAAGUAGUUGCGCGCAACACUGUCCUGUGGCAGCAUACUCGGCCUUAGCGGUGGAUAGGGCAACGGAGGUUUAUUUCUUUGAACUCCAAGACACCAGGGACCUUCCUAGGAAUUAGCACGUCCCUGAUGUACUCUUCCUAUCAACCUUGCAUCCAGCAUAAUCGGAGUCUGAGUAUCCAAUCAAUUCAAAGGUAGACCCCUUUGGAUACCAGAUCCCGAAGCAAGGCGUAGCAACUAAAUAUCUAAGAAUUCGCUUAACGGCCACAAGGUGACAUUCCCUGGGGUCGGAUUGAUAUCUAGCACACAUGCAUACACUUAGCAUAAUGUCCGGUCUACUAGCACAUAAAUGAAGCAAGGAACCUAUCAUAGACCGGUAUGCCUUUUGAUCACUGGACUUACCUCCUUUGUUGAGGUCGACAUGCACGUCGGUUCCCAUUGGUGUUUUCGCGGGCUUGGCGUCAUUCAUCCCAAACCUCUUGAGUAGGUCUUGAGUGUACUUCGUUUGGGAGAGGAAGGUGCCGUCCUUGAGUUGCUUCACUUGGAACCCAAGGAAGUAGGUCAACUUGCCCAUCAUCGACAUCUUAAACUUUUGAGUCAUCACCCUGCUAAACUCCUCACAAGACUUUUGGUUAGUAGAACUAAAUAUUAUGUCAUCGACAUAAAUUUGGCACACAAAAAGAUCACCAUCGCAGGUCUUAGUGAAAAGAGUGGGAUCGGCUUUCCCAACCUUGAAAGCAUUAGCAAUUAAGAAAUCUCUAAGGCAUUCAUACCAUGCUCUUGGGGCUUGCUUAAGUCCAUAGAGCGCCUUAGAGAGCUUGAACACAUGGUCAGGGUACCUGUCAUCCUCAAAGCCAGGGGGUUGUUCCACAUACACCUCCUCCUUGAUUGGCCCGUUGAGGAAAGCGCUCUUCACAUCCAUUUGAAACAACCUGAAAGAGUGGUGAGCGGCAUAGGCUAAUAAUAUUCGAAUAGACUCUAGCCUAGCCACAGGAGCAAAAGUCUCCUCGAAAUCCAAACCCGCGACUUGGGCAUAACCUUUUGCCACAAGUCGAGCCUUGUUUCUUGUCACCACUCCGUGCUCAUCUUGCUUGUUGCAGAACACCCACUUGGUUCCCACAACAUUUUGCUUUGGACGUGGCACUAGGCUCCAAACUUCGUUCCUUUUGAAGUUGUUGAGCUCUUCCUACAUGGCCAACACCCAGUCCGGAUCCUGCAAGGCCUCUUCUACCCUGAAAGGCUCAAUAGAAGAGACAAACGAGUAAUGCUCACAAAAAUUAGCUAAACGUGAGCGAGUUGUUACUCCCUUGCUUAUGUCACCCAGAAUCUGAUCAACGGUGUGAUUUCUUUGAAUCGUCGCUCGAACUUGAGUUGGAGGGGCUAAUGGUGCUUCUUCCUCCAUAACUUGUUCUUCUCGUGCUCCCACUUGAUCACGCGCCUGUUCUUGAGGAACCUAUCCAUCAUCUUGAGUUGGGGGAUGCACCAUCGUUGAGGAAGAAGGUUGAUCUUGCUCUUGUUGUUCUUGUGGUCGCACAUCUCCAAUCGCCAUGGUGCGUAUUGCGGUCCUUGGAACAUCAUCUUCAUCUAUGUCAUCAAGAUCAACUUUCUCUCUUGGAGAGCCAUUAGUCUCAUCAAAUACAACGUCGCUAGAGACAUCAACCAAACCCGAUGAUUUGUUGAAGACCCUAUACGCCUUUGUACUUGAGUCAUAUCCUAGUAAAAACCCUUCUACAGCUUUGGGAGCAAAUUUAGAAUGACUACCUUUCUUCACCAAAAUGUAGCAUUUGCUCCCAAAUACACGAAAGUAAGAAACAUUGGGUUUGUUACCGGUUAGGAGUUCGUAGGAGGUCUUCUUGAGAAGGCGAUGCAGAUAUAGAUGGUUUAUGGCGUGGCAGGCAGUGUUCACAGCUUCCGACCAAAACUGCUCGGGUGUCUUGAACUCUCCAAGCAUCGUCCUCGCCAUGUCGAUAAGCGUCCUGUUCUUCCUCUCUACCACACCGUUUUGUUGUGGUGUGUAGGGAGUGGAAACUCGUGCUUGACGCCUUCCUCCUCAAGAUACUCCUCCACUUGCAGAUUCUUGAACUCGGACCCGUUGUCGCUUCUUAUCUUUUUCACCUUGAGCUCAAAUUCGUUUUGAGCCCUCCUUAGAAAGCGCUUUAGGGUCCCUUAGGUUUCUGAUUUAUCCUGCAAAAAGAACACCCAAGUGAAGCGGAAAAAAUCAUCAACAAUUACUAGACCAUACUUACUUCCCCCAAUGCUAAGGUAGGCGACGGGUCCAAAGAGGUCCAUGUGAAGAAGCUCCAGUGGUCUUGAUGUUGUCAUCACGUUCUUGCUGUGAUGAGUGCUUCCCACCUGUUUCCCUGCCUGACAAGCUGCACAUGGUCUAUCUUUUUCGAAACAUACAUUGGUUAGUCCUAACACAUGUUCUCCCUUUAGAAGUUUAUGAAGGUUCUUCAUCCCAACAUGUGCUAGACGGCGAUGCCACAGCCAGCCCAUGCUAGUCUUAGCUAUUAAGCAUGCAUCUAGAUCGGCCUCCUCUUUCAAAAAAUCAACUAAGUAGAGUUUGUCAUCUAAUACACCCUUAAAUGCUAAUGAAUCAUCACUCCUUCUAAAGACAGAAACAUCAACUUUUGUAAACAAAUAAUUGUAGCCCAUGUGGCACAAUUGACUUACAGAUAGGAGGUUGUAACCAAGCGACUCUACUAGAAAUAUGUUUGAUAUGGAGUGCUCGUUGGUGAUGGCUAUCUUGCCCAAGCCUUUGACCUUGCCUUGGUUCCCAUCUCCAAAGAUGAUCGUAUCCUAGGAAUCCUUGUUCUUGAUGUAGGAGGUGAACAUCUUCUUCUCCACUGUUAUGUGGUUUGUGCAUCCGCUGUCGAUAAUCCAGCUUGAUCCCCUGGAUGCAUAAACCUGCAAGACAAUUUAUGCUUGGGUUUUAGGUACCCAACUCUUGUUGGGUCCUACAAGGUUAGUUACAAUAGCCUUUGGAACCCAAAUACAAGUCUUGUCUCCCUUGCAUUUGGAUCCCAACUUUCUAGCAACUACUUUUUCAUUCUUACAUACAAGUGAAAAUGAAGUAUUGCAAGCAUGGUAAAUAGUGGAAGGUUCAUUGCACAUUCUCCUAGGCACAUGAGACACAACAUUACUUUUUCUAGGCUUACUUCUACCAUGCACAAAAGUAGAGCUAGAAGCAAACAUAGCAUGUGAAUUAAACGCAUCAUAACUCCUAUUAUAAUGAGCAUUCCUAGAAAAUUUUCUAUCAUAAAUGUAAGCAUGACAUUUUUGAGAACUACUAGCCAUAGGAGCCUUCCCUUUCUCCUUGUUGAGAACGGGAGUCUUUUGGCUUGUUAAGUUCUUGGUUUCCUUUCGAAAACCAAGUCCAUCCUUAAUAGAGGGGUGUCUACCAAUUGCGUAGGCAUCCCUAGCAAAUUUUACUUUAUCAAAAUCAUUUUUGCAAGUCUUAAGUUGAGCAUUAAGACUUGCCACUUCAUCAUUCAAUUUUGUAAUAGCAGUAAGAUGUUCAUUACAUGCGUCAACAUCAAAGUCCUUACAUCUAUUACAAAUACUAACAUGCUCUACACAUGAACUAGAUUUAUUAGCUUCCACUAGCUUAGCAUUUAAAUCAUCAUUCAAAAUCUUUAAACUAGAGAUGGAUUCAUGCAAGCAGAUAAUUCAGAGGAUAACAUUUCAUUUCUCUUAGUUUCUAGAGCAAGAGAUUUUUGAACACUAACAAAUUUAUCAUGCUCUUCAUACAAAAUAUCCUCUUGCUUUUCUAAAAGUCUAUCCUUUUCAUUUAGAGCAUCAAUUAAUUCAUUAAUCUUUUCUACUUUAGCUCUAUCUAAUCCUUUAAAUAGACUAGAGUAAUCUACUUCAUCAUCGGAGGAAUCCUCAUUACUAGAAGUAGAGUACUUAGGGGUAUCUCGAACACUUACCUUCUUUUCCUUGGCCAUGAGGCAAGUGUGGCAUUCGUUGGGGAAGAGUGAAAAUUUGUUGAAGGUUGAGGCUGCCAGUCCUUCAUCGUCGGAGUCGGAUGAAGAGCAGUCUGAAUCCCAUUCUUUGCCAAGGUGCGCCUCGCCCUUCGCCUUCUUGUAAACCUUCUUCUUCUCCCUCUUCACAUGCUUCUCUUGUUCCUGGUCGUUAUCAUUAUCGGGGCAUUGUGCUAUGAAAUGACCAGUCUUACCGCAUUUGAAACAGGAGCGAUUUCCCCUUGCUUUGUUCUUGUUGGGGUAUUCCUUGCGUCCUUUCAGUGCGGUCUUGAAGCGCUUGAUGAUUAGGGCCAUCUCAUCUUUGUUUAGCCCAGUAGCCUCAACUUGUGCCACCUUGCUUGGUAGCGCCUCCCUGCUGCUUGUUGCUUUGAGAGCAACAGGUUGAGGCUCGUAGAUGGGUAGAGGGCCAUUAAGAGCAUCAUCCACGUAUCGCGCUUCCUUUACCAUCAUACGCCCGCUCACGAAUUUUCCGAGUAUCUCCUCGGGUGUCAUUUUGGUGUACCUGGGAUUUUCACGAAUAAGGUUUACAAGAUGGGGGUCAAUUACCGUGAAUGACCUUAGCAUAAGUCAGACGACGUCGUGGUCCGUCCAUCUUGUGCUUCCAUAGCUUCUAAUCUUGUUGAUGAGGGUCUUGAGCCUGUUGUAGGUUUGCAUUGUCUCCUCUCCCCUGAUCAUCGCAAAUCUCCCCAGUUCGCCUUCCACCAACUCCAUUUUGGUGAUCAUGGUGGCGUCGCUUCCCUCAUGCGAUAUCUUGAGGGUGUCCCAUAUUUGCUUGGCGUUGUCCAAGCCACUCACCUUGUUGUAUUCAUCCCUGCACAAGGAUGCUAGCAAAACAGUAGUAGCCUGUGCAUUCUUAUGAAUUUGCUCAUUUGUAAAAACGGGAUUGUCAGUACUAUCAAAAUGCAUUCCGUUUUCAACAAUCUCCCAAAUACUAGGAUGGAGAGAAAAUAAGUGACUACGCAUCUUGUGACUCCAAAAAGAGUAGUCUUCUCCAUCAAAAUGUGGAGGUUUCCCAAGUGGAAUUGAUAGCAAAUGAGCAUUAGAAUUAAAUGGAAUACGAGAAUAAUCAAAUGAAUAGUUUUGAUUCACCGGUUUCUUCUUUGAAGAGGAGUCAUAGUCGUCGUCGUGUGGUGAAGAAGACGAGGCAUCACUAUCGUAGUAGAUGAUCUUCUUGAUGCGCCUCUUCUUCUUUCCGUCCUUCUUCUUGUGACUCGAGCCAGAGUCAGUGGGCUUGUCGUCUCUUGGCUCGUUGAAGAGGGACUCCUCCUUGUCGUUGACCAGCAUCCCCUUUCCCUUAGGAUCCAUCUCUUCGAGUGGUUAGUCCCUUAAGUGAAGAGAAUGGCUCCGAUACCAACUGAGAGCACCUAGAGGGGGGUGAAUAGGUGAUCCUGUAAAAUUCAACACUAAAUUCCAACAACCUUGAUUAUAAAGAUAUUAGUGCGGGUUAAUCAAGUCAAUGAGACGAGCUCUUGCGAACACAUACAAUCAAAGAGAGAGCAAUCACAAGAGACACGCGAUUUUAUCCCGUGGUUCGGCCAAGUAACACUUGCCUACUUCCACGUUGUGGCGUCCCAAUGGACGAGGGUUGCACUCAACCCCUUUCAAGUGAUCCAAUGAUCAACUUGAAUACCACGGCUUUUCUUCCUUAUAUCCUUUUCCCGUUUGCGAGGAAUCUCCACAAGUUGGAGCCUGCACAAGAGUAAGGUUGGGAAGAGCAACGCACACAAGACACAAAUCGCAGCACACCCACGCACACAAGAGAGGACUUGAGCUCAAAUGACAACACAGGGAGUCCUCGACUCGAAUAGAGCUCAAAUCACUAACACAAUGAAACGAAUGCGCGGGAACAAAGUCUGGAUGCCUUAGGAUGCUUAGUGAAUGCUUUUGUAACUCCUCCAUGCGCCUAGGGGUCCCUUUUAUAGCCCCAAGGCAGCUAGGAGCCGUUGAAGAUCAACAAGGAAGGCUAUCCUUGCCUUCUGUCGAGUGGCGCACCGGACAGUCCGGUGCGCCAUCGGACAGUUACUGUAGAUGGUCCGGUGCCCAUCUCCUUCCUUUUCUAGCGCAGACGACCGUUGCAGCUCCGGGCGGAUUGGCGCACCGGACACUGUCUGGUGCACACCGGACAGUUCGGUGCCCCCUGCCAACCGUUGGCGCGGGCCACGCGUCGCCCGCGGAUUGCGCGGCCGACCGUUGCGCUGGCGACCGUUGGCUCACCGGACAGUCCGGUGCACCACCGGACAGUCCGGUGAAUUAUAGUCGUACGCCGCCAAACUUUUCUCGAGAGCGGCCUGUUCACCGGAAACCAGCCUGGCGCACCGGACACUGUCUGGUGCACCAUCGGACACUCCGGUGUGCCAGACUGAGUUGAGCUUCAACUGCACACAACCAGUCUUUUGCAAUCCUUUUAUUUUCUUCUUUUCUCUUUUUCUAACACUUAGAUAACUUCAUUAGUAUUCAAAAACAAAUGUACUAAGUCUAGAAACAUACCUCAUGUCUUGAUUUGCACUUUUUCAAACUUUGGCACAUUUAGAACUUAGAGAAUAUGUGUUGGGCACUUAAUCACCAAAACAUUAUAGAAAUGGCCCAAAGGCACAUUUCCCUUUCAGUGGUGGAUUGAAGUGCGGGGACCGUUGGAUGGCGUUUGAUCGGUCCUGAUUAGAAGUCGAUACCCCUUCGAGUUUGUUUAAAUCACGGCCAUGCAUUCCGGAUCGGGUGGCCGAUAUUAGAGUACAACGUUGACGUAUCUCGAGCUGUCAAUCCUGGAUCUAAUGGUGAAGAUUGCAUACCGAUUCAUUAUUAAUUCAAUCUAAUCUAUGUCGUUCAGCGGGGAUCCAACGGCCAGAAUCGUCAGAUACCCCUUCGGCCAACACCAUUUGCAAAUUAACCCCUCGGAUUUUAAUGAAAUAACCCGCUGUCCACUCAAGACUUAGCCUGAGUCUUAGGAAAACUUGCGCGCCAGCCCCUGCACUUUCUGGUAUUUGGUGCGCAGUCCUGAGGACAGUGAAAACUAGGAAAUUGAUUAUGGAAAUUGAUUUUUAAUACAAAAAUAAUUACAGAAACUUGUAAAAUUCAUAUAAAAUUCAUUCUAACUCCUUUUUAGCCCAUUCCAGUUCCUGUAAUUUUGUAAUGAUAUUGUUCAUCACAUAGUGUCUCUGGUUUGACAAGAAAACUGUAUUAAAAUUAAUCUUGUAUCAAAUACAUAAAACCUUCAGAAAUUCAUAACGUCCCCAUUUUAACUCCGAAUUGACCUGUUCUAGUUGCGUUAGCUUCGUAAUAAAAUUAUCUACACUUUGGUAACCUUAGUUUAUUAUGAGAUAUGUUGUAAAUAAUUAAUUUGUUUAUCCUAUGUUAAUUGGAUUAAUCUAUGUCUAUUGGAUUAACUUCUUUAAUUUUAAUAUAGUAUUCUAAUCUUAUGGUUAUAAUGUGACUAGAUGAUCUUUAAUCAAAUAAUGACUUAGAUUAAAGUUGAGAUAAUUAUUUAUAGAAUAACCUCUCAUAUGAUUUAUACUAACCAAUUUAUAAUAUAGUUUAAUAUAUUAAAUCACAUAGAUCUCCCAUAAGUCAUAACUCCUUAACCGUAACUCUGAAUCUAACGAUUCUCAAACCCGUGAUCUCAUAGCGACGCGUAGAUUAUUAUUAUUAUGCAGUUUAUUCUUAUGUUUGGUGUGAUGUUAAUUUUGUUUAUACCAUGUCUGUUUGUAUUGCUAUGACUAGCAGUGAGGUCACGAGAAUCUGAGGAUUAUCCUGGUACCUAGUACCUGGAAUCUCAAGUCCCAGGCAAGUUGUGCCCUUGACCACAUUUAUUACCGAAUAAUGUUCUUUAAUAUCACUUAUUCAUGCAUCGGUUUAAUUUUGAUGGGUCCCAAUAGGUCACCCUAGUCUGAUUAUCUUUUACCUUGUUUACCCCUGAAUCAUUUGGGUAGUUUGCUAUUGCUUUAUAUGGUUUUGGGUUAGUAUUUCAUUAUAUCCAUGUUCCAAUUAUUCUGUUAUUUUAUUUAUGUUCAUGUCAAGAUAAUUAUCUUUAAUUGGAACAUGGAGUUUAACUUGAGAAACACGUGCCACCACAAGGGUGGAAUGGACGCCCUUGGCUGACUAAUUAGCAAAGCUAGUGGAAGACUACCUUACCCGAAAGGGGAAAGGGCACUAGGGGAGUAGGCAUGCAGGGAGGUUCUCGGGUUGAUUUUGCUGCGAUGGUGGUCAGACAAGGGAUUUCUGUAAUUGCACUUCCUAGAAACUGUAGCGCGUUUUCGGAAGCUAGUGGAACUUUGUAAAGGCCUCGUAGUGUUACCCUGCCUCGCUUCCUUGGUUGAGGUAUAUGGGACUCAUGACCCCUUGGCAGAUGGGUAACAUGACUUAUGGGUACAGGGUACAACCUCUGUAGAGUGUAAAACUGGUAUACUAGCCGAGCUCACGGUCAUGAGCAGCUCAGGACUCUCGCAUGAUUAAAUUAUAAAACUAAAUUCAAUUUGUCAUUUGCAUUGCAUGGGAUUAUUUAUUAAUUUUGUUCUAUUCUUAUUAUGGUUUGGUAUUUACUUUCAUUUAGUAACUACUAAUAAAGUUUGACCAACUUAUUAAAAGCAAUGCUCAACUUUAACCCCUAUUGUUGAUCAGCCUUACACAUCACAUGAACUCCCACCUUUGGUGAGUUCAUGCACAUUAUUCACCACAACUUGUUGAGAGAUGAACAUGUGUGAGCUCACCCUUGCUGUCUCACACCCCCCACAGGUGAAGUACAGGUGGUUCAAGAGGAGCCACACAACGAGGAGUUUGACUUGAUCUAGGUGGCGUCUCCCAGUUGACUUUAUGGCACCAGGGAUGGACUUUAGUUCGUUUUAUAUUUACCUUUUAUUUUGUAAGACUUCCGCUAUAAUAAGUACUCUGAAUAUAUUGUGACAUUUAUCUCUAUACACUCUGUUAUUAUAUGUGUUGUCUUGUUUGGUGCAUAUAUGAGAUGCACCUGGCUUUGUCCCAUAAAUCUGGGUGUGACAACUUGUUCCUCUACCUCUUGUAUAAUUUCCGACCCAAAGAACUGUCUUUCACCAGUUUGAUCCCAAUACAGAGGAGUCCUGCAUUUUCUUCCAUAUAGAGCUUCAAACGGGGACAUCUUCAAACUGGUCUGAUAGCUAUUAUUGUAAGAGAACUCCACAUAUAGUAAGCUCUUAUCCCAGCUACCACCAUGUUUAAGAGCACAAGCUAUUAACAUAUCUUCUAGUACUUGGUUGGUCUUCUCGGUCUGCUCAUUAGUUUGAGGAUGGUAGGCCGACUAAAAUUCAACUGUGUGUCGAACCACUCGUGCAACUUCUGCCAAACCGAGAAGUAAAUUGUGAUCCCCGAUCUGACACGAUCUUCUUAGGCACUCCAUGUAGACAAACUAUCUAAGCCAUAUACAACUCUGCAAGCUUGGCUCCCGUUUAGCAUCACCGAUCUGACCCUUUCAUAUUUCUUGCUAUCCGAGCCAUAUACAACUCAGUUAUCAGAUCUUUGAUCUCCUGAAUUUUAGCAUCACCGAUCUGACCCUUUCGUAUUUGUUGCUCUAAGGUAGGCUCUACCUCUAUGGUAAUUCCUUCAGUAUGAGCAACUAUCCCAGAUUGAGCUUCUCAAAAUAUUCUGCUAACUCAUCGGGUAACUGGGUUACAAUAGCUGCAUGGACAUGCUCCUUCCGACUCAAGGCAUCCGUAACCAGAUUCGCCUUGCCCAGAUAAUAGUGUAUUUCCAAGUCAUAGUCCUUGAUGAGCUCCAACCAUCGGCGUUGCCUAAGGUUGAGAUCCUUCUGAGUGAAGAUGUAUUUUAAGCUCUUGUGAUCGAUGUAGACUCGGCACUUGGUUCCCAUAAUAUAGUGUCUCCAAAUCUUGAGAGCAUGCACGACGGCUGUGAGUUCUAAGUCAUGAGUGGGGUAAUUCAACUCAUGUUUUCGCAACUGGCGAGACACGUAAGCGAUGAUGUGUCCUUCUUGCAUAAGCACACAUCCCAAGCCCUGGCGACUUGCAUCACAAUAUAUAUCAAAAUUCUUCUAUAGAUCUGGCAUAACCAACACUGGAGCAGCCAUCAAUUUAAACCUCAAUUGAUUGAAACUCUCUUGGCAUUCCUAGGUCCAUUUAAACUCCUUGCCCUUCUCUAACAAUGAGGUCAUAGGCUUAGCAAUCUUGGAGAACCCUUCCAUGAAUCGCCGGUAAUAACCUGCGAGUCCUAGGAAACUCCGGACCUCCGAGACCGUACUUGGUAUCUUCCAACCAACUAUCGCUGUCACUUUACCCGGAUCCACUGAAAUUCCUCCUUUGGAGAUGAUAUGCCCGAGGAAAUGUACUUCAUCAAGCCAGAACUCACACUUUGUAAAUUUGGCAUAAAGUUGGUUAUCUCGUAACUUCUGUAGCACCAUUCGCAAAUGUUCCUCAUGAUCACUAUCACUCUUGGAAUAAAUAAGAAUAUCGUCGAUGAAUACCACAACGAAUUUAUUGAGAUACUCCAUGAACACCUUGUUCAUCAGAUCCAUGAAGUAGUCUGGUGCAUUGGUUAAGCCAAACGACAUGACUGUGAAUUCAUAUAGACCAUAUCGGGUAGAGAAAGUUGUCUUAGGAAUAUCAGAUGGCCUAAUCUUCAUUUGAUGGUAGCUCGGUCUGAGGUCAAUCUUGGAAAACACCCUAGCACCUCUCAUCUAAUCAAACAAGUCAUCAAUAUGAGAUAACGGGUACUUGUUCUUAAUGGUAACAUCAUUAAGUGAUCUAUAGUCCACACACAUCCGUUGCGAACCAUCCUUCUUCUGUACAAACAGUACCGGUGCUCCCCAAGGUGAGGAACUCGGACGAAUGUACCCUUCUUCCUACAACUCUGUUAACUGUUUCUUAAGUUCUUUUAACUCUUCCACUGACAUCCUAUAUGGCCUUUUUGAAAUGGGAGUAGUACCAGGUAAGAGAUCAAUAACGAAUUCGACUUCCCUAUAUGGUGGCAUUCUGGGUAGCUCUUCAGGAAAGACGUCUGGAAAGUCUCUAACAAUUCGGAUGUUUCUACCCACAAAUUUUCCAUCUACUAGAAAUAUGGAAGGUCUGGUAGAGGCGGUUAUAGAAAUCUCAACUUCAUAUCUUUCCCCUUUGGAACUGGUGAGGUCUACGGUUCCCUUAGCACAGUGUAUAAUUGCCUUUGCUUUCCUUAACCAAGACAUCACGAAUAUCAGAUCUAUACUGCUUUCUUCUAGUACUAUGGGUGUAGACCAGAAUUCCCUUCCCAUAAUUGUCUGUGUUAAUCUUUGUGUCAUAUAGUUUGCUUCAAUAGGCCCUUUAGGUGUAAUUACUACCAUUGGUGUUUUCAUAUUUUGUAGUGGCAAUUCAUUGGUGGUGGCAAAUUGAGCAGAAAUAAACGAAUGUGUAGCUUCAUAAUCAAAUAACAAUGCUGCUGGAAUUGCAUUAAUAUAAAACAUACCGAUAGCGAUGUCUGCACCGUAAGUAGUGGCCUCAGCACUAACUUGAUUAACCCUGGCAAUGCUGAAUCCCUUGCUAGGAGUCUGUUGCUUGUUCUGAG
rnacentral:lncRNA from 1 species